rnacentral:rRNA from 1 species
AGUGAACGCUGGCGGUAGGCCUAACACAUGCAAGUCGAACGGCAGCACAGUAAGAGCUUGCUCUUACGGGUGGCGAGUGGCGGACGGGUGAGGAAUACAUCGGAAUCUACUUUUUCGUGGGGGAUAACGUAGGGAAACUUACGCUAAUACCGCAUACGACCUACGGGUGAAAGCAGGGGAUCUUCGGACCUUGCGCGAUUGAAUGAGCCGAUGUCGGAUUAGUUAGUUGGCGGGGUAAAGGCCCACCAAGGCGACGAUCCGUAGCUGGUCUGAGAGGAUGAUCACCCACACUGGAACUGAGACACGGUCCAGACUCCUACGGGAGGCAGCAGUGGGGAAUAUUGGACAAUGGGCGCAAGCCUGAUCCAGCCAUACCGCGUGGGUGAAGAAGGCCUUCGGGUUGUAAAGCCCUUUUGUUGGGAAAGAAAAGCAGCAGGUUAAUACCCCGCUGUUCUGACGGUACCCAAAGAAUAAGCACCGGCUAACUUCGUG